UAGUUAUGUUCUUGAAACUUAAAAAAUUUGGCGGUAUUUUAGUCUAUUCAGAGGAACCUGUUCUAUAAUCGAUAAUCCACGAUGGACCUUACUUAAAUUUGUAAUCAGUUUAUAUACCGUCGUUAUUAGAAUAUUUUAUAAGAAUGUUAAUUUUCAGGAUUUUUUAAAAGAAAAUAUAUCAGAUCAAGGUGUAGCUUAUAUUUAAGUAGAAAUGGGUUACAAUAAAAUUAUUUAUACGAAUUUAAAUAUGAAAUAUUUAUUGAAGGUGGAUUUGAUAGUAAAAUUAUAAAGAUUAAUAAUUUGAUUUUAGCUCUAAAAUAUGUACACAUCGCCCGUCACUCUUAUUAUUAAGGUAAGAUAAGUCGUAACAUAGUAGAUGUACUGGAAAGUGUACCUAGAAUGCAAUUUAAAGCUUAUACAGUAAAGCAUUUCAUUUACAUUGAAAAGAUUUUUGUGCAAAUCAAUAUGAAUUGAUUAGAAUUUAUUUAUUAAUAUUUUUUUUAUUAAUUUAAAUUAUUAAAAAUAAUUAUAAAAAGGAUUUGUUUUAGUAUUUAAUAAAGAAAAAAUAAUUUUAAUUAUAGUGUAAUAGUAUUGUGAAAGAAAAUUGAAAUAACU
rnacentral:rRNA from 1 species